AUACGGAGGGUGCGAGCGUUAAUCGGAAUUACUGGGCGUAAGGCGUACGUAGGCGGUUGGUUAAGUUAGAUGUGAAAGCCCCGGGCUUAACCUGGGAACUGCAUUUAAAACUGGCGAACUAGAGUUGAGUAGAGGGGAGUGGAAUUUCAGGUGUAGCGGUGAAAUGCGUAGAGAUCUGAAGGAACACCAGUGGCGAAGGCGACUCCCUGGACUCGAACUGACGCUGAGGUACGAAAGCGUAGGUAGCAAACGGGAUUAGAAACCCCAGUAGUCC
rnacentral:rRNA from 1 species